AAAUCAAUUUAAUUCCUAAUAAUUCAUACAGUUUCUAAAGAGUGCAUGACAUAAAGGACGUGCCCUGGUCAG